GCGGGAAGCUUCCAGAAACCCUGUGGACUUACACAUUGGAAGAAGCUGAUCUUCUCUAAAGACUAAUGAUGUUGUUCCCAUGAGGACUGCUGUCCUGCGAUGUCUCUUGGUUUUCCUCGGGGGUGAUGAAAGAGACUGCUACAAUGCCUCUUUUGAUUCAGAUGCCGUGGCAGACUUCACCCAGGUUCCUGUGGGAUUAUUGCCUGUUAUUCCUGAAGUCAGUCAGCAACCAGGUCCGAAUGCUCUUCACCUUGAAGCAUCCAGCAUGUUAUCAUUCUGGAAGGUACAAUUGUCAUGGUUGACACUGAUCAUGCUGUUUGCCUCAUAUUUGGACUGACCUGUGCCCUUCAUCUUGACUGUCCAAAAUGCCUAAAAAACACCUUUGACUUCAUUCAGAGGCUGAUGCUCAGUCUGGUUUCUUUUUUUAUGCCAUUACUUGUAUUUCUAUGUUUUUUCAUAUUGUGUAUUCAUUUAAUAUGAUAUUUUUUUAACUUACUAUCAUAUUUUAAUUUGAUUUUUUUUUGCACUGUUGCACUGUAUUAUCAAAUAAGUUGGUAAAGUUCUUAUUUUUUUUUGUUGGAUGCAAUGUUUGGCACAUGGAUUACUUCAUCAAGCUAUUUAUUUAUUUCUAUGUUUAUUGCCAAGUAUGUCAGAAUCUGUCCUCCAUAUAUAACUACUUAAAUCACUUUUUUUUUUAAAUGUUACAGUGCUAGAGUGCCUACUUGUUACAGUUCAAAAUAAACUGUUUCAGUUGCUGCUCAUUCAGCCUGUAAGCUGACUUAAGCAUCUUUCUGGUAUUACUGUUAUUGAACCCUGUGG